rnacentral:rRNA from 1 species
AGGGCACCACCAGGAGUGGAGCCUGCGGCUUAAUUUGACUCAACACGGGGAAACUCACCCGGCCCGGACACCGGAAGGAUUGACAGAUUGAUAGCUCUUUCUUGAUUCGGUGGAUGGUGGUGCAUGGCCGUUCUUAGUUGGUGGAGCGAUCUGUCUGGUUAAUUCCGAUAACGAACGAGACUCUAGCCUAUUAAAUAGACGUCGGGUUCUCUGCACUCGACGGUCUUCUUAGAGGGACAAGGUGCUUUUUAGCAACCGCCGAAACAAAAGCAAUAACCAGGGCCUGUGGAUGGCCCUUAAAAUGUCCCGGGGGCGGAAGGGGGGGUUAAAAUUUAAAGAAGAGAGCCCGGGUAAACAACCUUGGUUUCUACCGAAACUGGGGAAACCCCGGGGGAACUUUCCUUUAUGAUUUGGGAAAAGGGGUUUGGAAAUUGGGCCCCCUUUAAAAGAGGAAAUUCCCCGAUAAAACCCUUUCUCUCCGAGGGGGGGGAUUAACCCCCCCCCCCUUUUUUAAAAAAC